rnacentral:piRNA from 1 species
AAUUAAACUGUAUAAAGGGCAACACAUG